UNCCAUGUGUAGCGGUGAAAUGCGUAGAUAUAUGGAGGAACACCAGUGGCGAAAGCGGCUCUCUGGUCUGUCGCUGACGCUGAGGCUCGAAAGCGUGGGUAGCGAACAGGAUUAGAUACCCUGGUAGUNCACGCCGUAAACGAUGAGUGCUAGGUGUUAGGCCCUUUCCGGGGCUUAGUGCCGGAGCUAACGCAAUAAGCACUCCGCCUGGGGAGUACGACCGCAAGGUUGAAACUCAAAGGAAUUGACGGGGGCCCGCACAAGCGGUGGAGCAUGUGGUUUAAUUCGAAGCAACGCGAAGAACCUUACCAGGUCUUGACAUCCCGAUGCUAUUCUUAGAGAUAGGAAGUUACUUCGGUACAUCGGAGACAGGUGGUGCAUGGUUGUCGUCAGCUCGUGUCGUGAGAUGUUGGGUUAAGUCCCGCAACGAGCGCAACCCUUAUUGUUAGUUGCCAUCAUUAAGUUGGGCACUCUAGCGAGACUGCCGGUAAUAAACCGGAGGAAGGUGGGGAUGACGUCAAAUCAUCAUGCCCCUUAUGACCUGGGCUACACACGUGCUACAAUGGUCGGUACAACGAGUUGCGAGCCGGUGACGGCAAGCUAAUCUCUGAAAGCCGAUCUCAGUUCGGAUUGGAGGCUGCAACUCGCCUCCAUGAAGUCGGAAUCGCUAGUAAUCGCGGAUCAGCACGCCGCGGUGAAUACGUUCCCGGGCCUUGUACACACCGCCCGUCACACCACGAGAGUUUGUAACACCCGAAGUCGGUGAGGUANCCUUUUAGGG
rnacentral:rRNA from 1 species